rnacentral:tRNA from 1 species
GCCCAGGUGGCUCAGAGGUUGAGCGUCUGCCUUCGGCUCAGGGCAUGACCCCAGGGUCCUGGGAUCGAGUCCCACAUUGGGCU